rnacentral:tRNA from 1 species
GGGCGUGUAGCUCAGUUGGGAGAGCACGAGCAUGGCAUGUUCGGGGUCGCAGGUUCGAUCCCUGUCACGUCCA